UGCGUGUGAGCGUGUGACCUUUCUCUGAUGGGCUGGGCUGACGCUGCUUCCCGUAGAUGUUUGAACACAUGCGGUAGCAAAGCAGAUUCUUUAUCUUGUGAGCCCUUGUCAGUAUUUCAGACACAAGAACGAGUUCUCAGUGACUCUAAGUGGCAGAAAGAAUGGACAAAUCCCUGGGCUGGCUCAUCCUUUGGUUACAACUAGAUUGGGUGAGCAGUAAACAGGAGGUGACGCAGAGUCCUGAAGCUCUGAAUGUCCGCGAGCGGGAUAGCGUGGUUGUCAACUGCAGUUACACGGAUGGCGCUCUUUAUUCCCUUCAGUGGUUUAGGCAGGACCCUGGGCAAGGGCUCACAUUCCUGCUGCUAAUUCAGUCAAAUCAGAGAGAACAAACAGGUGGAAGAAUUAAAGUCUCCUUGGAUACAGCGACAAGACAGAGUGUUCUAUACAUUGCAGCUUCUCAGCCCAGCGACUCGGCCACCUACCUCUGUGCAGUGAGGCACAGUGCCCAACAGGCUUCUGUCACCAAUACCUAAACUCUGCAGCUGGGG